rnacentral:lncRNA from 1 species
CUGGUUUUGCAACGUUUUUCUCAAGCAAUCAAAAGAACCCUUUUAUGAUAAGGAAUAUUGUGAGUGCAAGAUUAAUUAGUUUGGCGUGAAGCGUGAGUGGAACUUGCAAAAACAUGGAAAAGGAUUUGACAUUUAAUGUCUUCCAUCAACAGCUUCUUCAAAUUUGAGUGCAACCUAACCAUCUGUCCCUUAUUGUUGGGGUGGGGAGGAUCG